CGCGGGGUGGAGAAGUGGUCUAUCUCGUCGGGCUCAUAACCCGAAGAUCGGGGGUUCAAAUCCCUCCCCCGCAA
rnacentral:tRNA from 1 species